rnacentral:rRNA from 1 species
CGCUGGCGGCGUGCCUAACACAUGCAAGUCGAACGGGGUGAUGACUUCGGUUAUCACUUAGUGGCGAACGGGUGAGUAACGCGUGAGGAACCUGCCUCUCAGUGGGGGACAACAGUUGGAAACGACUGCUAAUACCGCAUGAUACUACUGGGCCGCAUGGUCUGGUAGUCAAAGAUUUAUUGCUGAAAGAUGGCCUCGCGUCUGAUUAGCUAGUUGGUGGGGUAACGGCCCACCAAGGCGACGAUCAGUAGCCGACCUGAGAGGGUGAUCGGCCACAUUGGGACUGAGACACGGCCCAAACUCCUACGGGAGGCAGCAGUGGGGAAUAUUGCACAAUGGGGGAAACCCUGAUGCAGCAACGCCGCGUGAAGGAUGAAGGUUUUCGGAUUGUAGACUUUUGUCUUUAGGGAAGAUAAUGACGGUACCUAAGGAGGAAGCUCCGGCUAACUACGUG